GGGCCGGUAGCUCAGUUUGGCUAGAGCGCCGACAUGGCAUGUCGGAGGUCGUGGGUUCAAGUCCCAUCCGGUCCACCA
rnacentral:tRNA from 1 species